rnacentral:misc_RNA from 1 species
GUGAAUCAUCGAAUUUUUGAACGCAAAUUGCACUCUCCUCGAAGAGGAUGCCUGCUUGAGUUUCAGCCUAUAAAAAAUCGACAUCGUCGCUGUUUCGCUGGGGCGUGCGUCGGAAAUUGGGUCAUCUUAAAUCCUUUUGAUUUAAUCGACUUAAAAUUUUCUUUUGGUUCCACGAACGUUUCUAAGAUCUAUUGCGUUACACGUUUAGAGUAUCUAUUUUUACUAGACGUGACCAUCAUGU